GUAGGGGGCAAGCGUUGUCCGGGAAUUAUUGGGGCGUAAAGCGCGCGCAGGCGGUCUCUUAAGGUCUGAUGUGAAAGCCCACGGGCUCAACCGUGGAGGGUCAUUGGAAACUGGGAGACUUGAGUGUAGGAGAGGAAAGUGGAAUUCCACGUGUAGCGGUGAAAUGCGUAGAUAUGUGGAGGAACACCAGUGGCGAAGGCGACUUUCUGGCCUACAACUGACGCUGAGGCGCGAAAGCGUGGGGAGCAAACAGGAUUAGAUACCCUGGUAGUCCACGCUGUAAACGAUGAGUGCUAGGUGUUAGGGGUUUCGAUGCCCUUAGUGCCGAAGUUAACACAUUAAGCACUCCGCCUGGGGAGUACGGCCGCAAAGGCUG
rnacentral:rRNA from 1 species